rnacentral:lncRNA from 1 species
GGUGGAUCAUGAACAGAAGAUCAAUUGAGUAACAACAAAAAAUAUAUUGAGCAAGAACUUAAUAUUAUAUUUAUGUUAAUUAAAUAUGGUGUUGGAGUUGGACAAUUGUAUGUUUGGAAUUUGGAUACUCUAGAAUUGCUUAGUCCAUGAUAGAUCUUCAAUGGAGUUAAGCUAGUAAUAAAUACUCCAAUACUUAUGUUAAUUAAGUUGAAUUAUGCUUGCACUAUGUAAUAAUAAGGAAUUAAUACUUAUGUUAAUUAAUGGAAAUUAGCACUUUGUCCUUCAAAUAAUUGGUAAUUUUUUUUAUUUAGGACCUUUUGAUUCCUGUUAUAAGCAUGUUUAACCUUCAAUUGAAUUAAACUCAAUGGUACUGCACACUGGGAUACCAGAUACAAGGAAAGAGGAGAGCAAAAUAGGAGAUCAGAGGCGAGUGAGAGAGCCAAAUACUUGCAAAUUCAUUUGAAUACAGUGUAUCAAAAAUAAAUUACACAUAAUUUUGACAUAAUAUAUCCGAGAUACAUGUAUCUGGAUGCGCGCACAAGAGAUACAUAUGUAUCUUGAUGUAUCAGGACGUGUAAGAUACAUGUAUCCGAAGUCCAAAAUCUGGUAAAAUUCAUAAUAUUAUAAACUAACCCGAAUAUAAGUAAUUAGCUCUUAAACAAGUGUGAUUUCUAUAAUUACUGAUCAAUACAUAAAGCCUUUUAUUUGCCACUAAUGAGUGUAAUCGCACUCACUAUGUCAUGUCAUCAAAAUAUUCCUAUUUCAUCAACCUUAAAUAACAUUAUCAAAAGAUUAUAUUUGCCUUUAAAUAUUGUAAUUUAAAUCCCUUGGAAGGAAUAAACCCUUAACUCAAUCUUUCUUAUUGAAAUAUACUUCUAAUAUAAGUCUUUUUCUACUACCUCUGUGUGUUUGCUGUUACAAAACCUUUUUUCUAGCCUAAUCAAAUUGAAGCGGAUUAAUCAAUUCACCAAUAAAUGAAAGAUCCAUCGUUUUAACAUUCAAAAGAAAGAUAAAAAUUCCGUGUGAUUCCAUGUCUGGACCUCCUCUUCAUGCACUUAUUUACUGUACAAUUCAGUUACUUAAUAUAGAAAUGUAUCAUCCUUUUUGGGAUCGACUAAAAACAGAAGGGUGUCAUAUAAAUUGGGACAAAGUAACUUUUAUGCUUUAUGAAUCGCCAGAGCUUUCGAUUAGAUUAACUUUGAUCCUCUUUUUCCUUGUUUUAGUUAGUUUAAAGUGGACUUACUAACAAAAGUAACCAUACAAAUAGGUUAUUCUUGGAAGGAAAAAAUCCUUCAUUCAAUUAUUCUUAUUGUAAUAUACUUCUAAGUAUUUUUCUAUUACCUAUGUGUGUGUUCCUAUUUCAAAUAGGUAUAUUUUAUUUCAUCCAAAUAUAUUGAUUUUUAUCAUCGACUCGUAUUAGCACGUGCUUUAUUACCAUCAUGCCCGAUCUUUUAAACUUUUCAGAUUGCAAAAUUCAGCACACUUAAUUAAUAUCAUGGCAAAUAAAGUCCAUACAAAAUUUAGUAGAUAAAAUUUACUUAUAUCAUCUAAUAAAUAUAUGUCAUAUAUCUUCACAAAUAGUCAAUUACAUACAUAUUAUUACCUUAAUUUAUUAUUUAAUCAUGAUAAAUUAUUUAAAUUGAUGUGAACAUUUUAUGCGCGUAUAGACUAAUCUACGGACCGGUGAGACUAUUCUAUAGAUAAUAAGAAUAAAUUAGCUACUUCUCGACUUGGAAAAAUUUAGCACAUGAAAAGUGGACCAUAUGAAGUAUCAUUUAUGUCAAUCCAAUUCAAGCCCUAUGAAAAAAAAAAUCAUAAAAAUAAUUUUUUGCGGCAAUAAAUAUGCACAUUAAUAAAGAGAGCUAAAACUUUACCGGCAUAAGUUUAUCGCCAUUGGAUCAAAUGUCGCUAUAAGUUUUAGGGACAUUUACAAAAAGUGUUAAUAAUUGCCUUUAAAAGUACAUAUUUAGCGGCAAUUAAUCUAUUACUGUUAAAGAUCAUUUGAGUCAGAUACAAGUUCCAUUUCUUAACAUACAGAGAUUUCAAUAGCUCGGUUGAUUUGCUACUUAAAAGUGUUUUUGUAAAUGAUUAGCCAAACACAAAUAUAACUUCUCACCAAAAAUAAAUACUUUUCAAAAUAAGUUAAUUUUAGAAAUUUAACGAAGCAAGCUUACUCAAGACUGAAAACAUCAUAGUCAUCAACUUGAGAGGACUUGACCAACUAAAAUAAUAUAAAUCAAAUGUUCGGAAAAUUAUAAUCAAAUAUCAUUCGAUCAUCUAAUUUAUAUAAUAUAUAUAGUAUAUAUAUAACAGAAAUAUAUAAAUAAUAUAUACUUUGAUCAUAUUGAUAAACUAAUUAGCCGAAGAAUGCGUAAGUUUCCUAUAAAUGUUAGCCCAAGAGUCAAGCCCUCAAAAAGGAAAAAUGGAAGUGAUUUUUUUUUCUUUUUUUUUUUGGUCAUAGAUUUUUUUUUUCCAACAAGAAAGGGUCCACACAUUUAUAAAUUCCUUAUCAAUGAUCCCUUGAGAAAUAUUAUAAAAGGACUAGCAUAUAAGCUUAUUGAUUAAAAUAUAAUCACCUCAUAUAAGAUAAUAAAAUUAAUUCCUUUUUGCUCCAAUUUGAUCUCCAUGAAUCACAAAGCAUUAUUCUUAGCUUUUUUUGUCAUAAUCCUCUGUCUAUUCUCAGCAACCUCUAGAAGAUUGACAGGUGUAGUAUUAAUCCCUUUAUUGUAAUGUUGUAUAGGGACGGAGCUAGAUAAAAUCGAGGAGGUUUUUUAGUAGAAAAUUAUAUUUUUUAUAUAUAGUUUAACUUAUUACUUUUUACGUAUAUAUAGAAGAUGUUAAACCUUCAUUGACUUCUUAUUUUGUGUGUCUAUUUCUUUAUAUUAAUGAAAAUUCUGACUUCAUCAUUCGUAAUGUAAUUGUACCAUUAGUUUCUUAUUUUAUACUAAUUUUUUUAUUUUUAUAACAAUAACUUCAUUUAAAAUAUAUUUCAUGUUUAAAUCAUUUUUUGUUUUGUAGGAAAAGUAUAAUAAAACAAGCUAAAUAUUAUUUAUAAAAAUUAAAAUUAAACAUAGCUUCAUCUUCAACUUAAAAUUUUUCAAAUAAAGUGAAAAGUAUUUGCAAUAAUACGUAGUAGCUAGUAUAUAAGAUCUAAUACUAUCUAUUUUGAGAUUUUACUCUUUUAUAUGUUUCAGAUAAAUUAAUCAAAUUGGGUGAUUUUACUAGCUUCUCGAAAGACAUAAUAUAUUAGCAUGCUCUUUAACUUGAGUCCGGAGCCUAAAGGGCAAAAAAAAUGGUAAAAAAUUCCAAAAGGGCACAUCACUUUUUAUUUUAGCCAAAAGGGCAAAAUCGCUGCGUCAGCAGCGAUUUUCCUCUGACAAAAUGACAAAAUCGCUGCCCUAGCAGCGAUUUCGUCUAAAAAUAAUUUUUAUUUUUUUUAUUAAAAAUCGCUGCUUUUUUUUCUUUAAAAAAACUAAAACAGCACAUCAAAAAAAAAAUUAACCAAAAGGGCUUCUGACAAAACAAAGAAUAUACAUCUCAUGUACACAAAACAAUGCUUCACUACUGUGGAUAUACAUCUCAUGUACAUAAAAGAAUAUUAAAUUCAGAAAAAAACUUUUUUUAAAAAAUUCUUAACGAAAUUCGCUGCUAUAGCAGCGAUUUUGAAGAAAAAAAAGUUUUUUCUUUUUUGAUAAAAUAUGCAGCGAUUUUUAUUUUUGUUUUGUCAGAAGCCCUUUUGGUUAAAUUUUUUUUUGAUGUGCUGUUUUAGUUUUUUUAAAGAAAAAAAAGCAGCGAUUUUUAAUAAAAAAAAUAAAAANNNNNNNNNNNNNNNNNNNNNNNNNNNNNNNNNNNNNNNNNNNNNNNNNNNNNNNNNNNNNNNNNNNNNNNNNNNNNNNNNNNNNNNNNNNNNNNNNNNNNNNNNNNNNNNNNNNNNNNNNNNNNNNNNNNNNNNNNNNNNNNNNNNNNNNNNNNNNNNNNNNNNNNNNNNNNNNNNNNNNNNNNNNNNNNNNNNNNNNNNNNNNNNNNNNNNNNNNNNNNNNNNNNNNNNNNNNNNNNNNNNNNNNNNNNNNNNNNNNNNNNNNNNNNNNNNNNNNNNNNNNNNNNNNNNNNNNNNNNNNNNNNNNNNNNNNNNNNNNNNNNNNNNNNNNNNNNNNNNNNNNNNNNNNNNNNNNNNNNNNNNNNNNNNNNNNNNNNNNNNNNNNNNNNNNNNNNNNNNNNNNNNNNNNNNNNNNNNNNNNNNNNNNNNNNNNNNNNNNNNNNNNNNNNNNNNNNNNNNNNNNNNNNNNNNNNNNNNNNNNNNNNNNNNNNNNNNNNNNNNNNNNNNNNNNNNNNNNNNNNNNNNNNNNNNNNNNNNNNNNNNNNNNNNNNNNNNNNNNNNNNNNNNNNNNNNNNNNNNNNNNNNNNNNNNNNNNNNNNNNNNNNNNNNNNNNNNNNNNNNNNNNNNNNNNNNNNNNNNNNNNNNNNNNNNNNNNNNNNNNNNNNNNNNNNNNNNNNUAGAGUUUUUUUUUUUUUAAGUAAAUUACUUUAUUUAUCGAAUAUGCAUCGCACAAGGAGUCACUAACAAAUGGUGUCUAGAUGUACACUAUCAAAAUUUGAAGUGUUUACUUAUCAACUGACAAUUGUAAUCAACUUUAUAUGUUUAUUUAGGUAUUAUACCUAAAAAUUAUAUACAUUAACGAUUUAUAUAAUUUAUGUUUUUUUAAAGAUUACAGAUCCAUUAUUUACACCAUUUCUUCUUUACAUGUUUGCAGCUCCUGGAGCAUGAACAGAGAUUGAGAAACAAAAAAGUUAUAUUGAGCAAGAACUUUAUAAUAUAUUUAUAUAUGUUUAAUUAUAUAUGUUUUUUGAGUUGGACAAUUGUAUGUUUGGAUCUCCAUGAUUGAUCUUCAAUGGAGUUAAGGUAAUAAUAAAGAAUACUUAUGUUUGAUUUUUUGGUAAUAAAGACAUUUUAUAUAUAUCAAAGUAGGGAAUUUAUGAAUAGCAGAUUAGCAGCUAAGCAACUACACAUGAGUUAUAAUUCCAGGAUAAUAAUCAAGUUUCGCGGUCCGACUAGUUAACUUUGCCUUCAAGCUACCUCGCAUCACCACCAUCUGAAUAAUUUGUCUUGAGAGAACCGAAAAUUUCUCUUCUUGGUCUAAAAGAUUCGAUUGCUCCUUUCCUGCCAUAUCGUAUAUAUAUAUCUGGAAUAUCAUAUAUAAGGAGAGUGGAGAGUACACUAUAAGAAAAGUGUGAAUUACAUGGGGAUUUUCCUGUGGAUUAGUAUGAAAAUUUUGCAGGAAAAUAAGUUUAAUUUCCUACGGAUUUUCAUAUUAAUCCCCAGGAAAAUUCCCAUGUAAUUCAAACUGUUCUUGUAGGGGUAGCCAGCGAGAUACGAGAGGCGAGUGAGAGAGUCACUUGGAUACAUUGUAUCUAAAACAAAUUACACAUAAUUUUGACUAUCUGGAUGCACCAUAUACAUGUAUCCGAAGAACAAAAUUUGAUAAGACUCAUAAUAUUGCAAACUAGCAUGAAUCUAAGUAAUUAGCUCCUAAACUAGUGAGAUAUCACAAAUAGUCAAUUACAUACAUAUUAUUACCUUAAUUUAUUAUUUAAUCAUGAUAAAUUAUUUAAAUUAAUGUGAACAUUUCAUGCGCGUAUAGACUAAUCUAGUGACUGGUGAGACUAUUCUAUAUAUAAUAAAAAUAAAUUAGCUGCUUCUCGACUUGGAAUAAACUUAGCACAUGAAAAGUGGACCACAAGAAGUUUCAUUUAUGUCAAUACAAUUCAAGCCCUAAGAAAAAAACAAAAAUCAUAAAAAUAGUCUUUAACAACAAUAAAUAUGUACAUUAAUAAAGAGAGGUAAAACUUUUACUGGCAUUAGUUAAUUGUCAUUGGAUCAAAUGUCGCUAUAAGCUUUAGGGACAUUUAUAAAGAGUGUAAAUAAUUGCCUUUAAAAGUAUAUAUUUAGCGGCAAUUACACUAUUACUGUUAAUUAAUUAUUGUUAAAGACCAUUUGAGUCGGACACAAGUUCCAUUUCUUAACAUACAAAGAUUUUAGUAGCUCGAUUGAUUUGCUACUUAAAAGUAUUUUUACAAAUUGAUUAGUCAUACACAAAUAUAACCUCUCACAAAAAAAAAAACAUUUUUCAAAAUAAAUUAAUAUUAGAAAGUUGACCAAACAAACUUAUUCAAGACCGAAAACAUCAUAGUCAUCAACAGAGGACUUGACCAAGUAAAAUAUUAUAAAUUAAAUAUACAAAAAAUUACAACUAAAUAUCAUUUUGUCAUCUAAUUUAUAAAAUAUAUAUACAAUAUAUAGUGUAUGGUAUUUAUUUUAUACUAAACAUGUAUACAUAUUCGUAUAUCGAAGUAUAUAUAUAGUAUACAUAUCAUAUACAUAAUAUAUAUAGUACAUAUACAACGAAAAUAUAAAAAUAAUACAUAUUUUAAUCAUAUCGAUAAACUAGUUAGCGAAGGAUAUGUAAGUUUCCUAUAAAUGUUAGCCCAAGCCUCCCACCCCCCACCCCCCCAAAAAAAUGGAGGUGAUUUUUUUUUCAACAAUAAAGGGUCCACAAAUUUAUGAAUUCCUUAUGAAUGUUCCCUUGAGAAAUAUUAUAAAAGGACUAGCAUAUAAGCUUGUUGAUAAAAAUAUAAUCAUCUCAUAGAAGAUAAUUAAUUCCUUUUUGCUCCAAUUUGAUCUCCAUGAAUUACAAAGCAUUAUUCUUAGCUUGUUUUAUCAUAAUCCUCUGUUCAUCCUCAGCAACCUCUAGGAGAUUGCCAGGUGUAGUAUUAAUCCCUUUAUUGUAAUGUAAUAUACAUGGACGGAACUAGAUAAGGUCAAGAGGUUCAUCCUAACUCUCUUCAGUAGAAAAUUAUAUUGUUUAUAUAUAGUUAAAAUUAUUUUUUUAAAUGUAUAUAUAGUAGAUGUUGAAUCCCUAUUGACUUCUUAUUUCGUGUGUUUAUUUCUUCAUAUUAAUGAAAAUUUCGACUGCAUCAUUCAUAAUUUAACGGUACCGUUUAAUAUUUUUUAUGUACAUAUAGUAGAUGUUAAACCCCCCACUAACUUGUUAACUCGUAUGCUUAUUUCUUCAUAUAUACUUGUUUGGCUAUUAGAAUUUUUCAUUUUUUUUUCUUAAAAAAAAGUCACUUUAUUUGAAAAUCAGUGUUUGGUCAUGAAAAUUUCAAACUCACUUAAAGUAGUAUUUGAAAUUUGAAAAACACUCAAAAUCUUAUUUUCAUUUUCACAAUAGUAGACGUUUGAUCAUGUUUCAGUGUGAAAAUAGAAAAAAAUAAUUUUUAUUUUCAAAGUGAAAAAUGAUAUAUGGUUGUGUUUGACCGUGGAAUAAAUUAGAGGUGGUUUUUUUGAAUUUUUGUGAUUAAUUUAGAGCGAAAAAGUGAAUUUGUUGUGUUUGAAAAUUCUGAAAUCCCUGAAAAAAGUGAAAAUACUUUUUUUUCCAGCAUUUUAUGGCUAAAUUUCGGAGUUCGUAAAAAAAAUUCAUGGCCAAACGCCUACAUCAAAACAACUAAAUAUUAUGUACAAAAAUUAUAACUAAUCACAGCUCCAUCUUCAACUUCAACUUAAAAAGUUUCAAAUAAAGUGAAAAGUAUUUGAAAUAGUACAUAAUAUAGCUCAUAUAUGUUUCAGGUAAAUUAAUCAAAUUGAGUGAUUUUGCUAGUUUUUAGAAAGGCAUAAACAUUAACAUGCCUUUUAACUUGACCUCAGCUAACAUUUAUGCCCUCCAACAUUGAGUUUACAUUCAAAUUCUAAACAUUUUAUUAAGAUUUCCAAAUAAAAAAAAUUUUAAAAAAAAAAAUUCAUAGCCAAGGGCCCACUACUAGUAUUUUGAUUUUUAACCUUAAUUAUUAUUAUUUUUCCAAAUUUAAAUGUUACUUGUAUGAUGUAUAACUUAAUUCCUCUUUAACUACAGGUUAUAGAUGCAAUGCCUAUAAAUUUCGAGAAGAAUCGUGUUCACCACGUAGAUCCCUCUACCUUAGAUCUGCGAAACCAUAUAUUCAACCACCAGAUUCAAUAUCGUCACCUGGUAAAGUUUUGCGCAAAAUUUAUUAUUUCACCUGAUAUAGUUUAUUAUAUGCAAAAGUUAAAAGAAAAAAAAGUUUUAAGUUAUUGUGUGUGUUACUUCAUGAGUUGAUUAGUUGACCUAUCUAGCGGUCCAACCCAUCAAAUUUUGGACGAGUUGGAAGGAUUACAUAUUUCAAUUGGCGAAGAACACGGUAUGAUGAGAGAUGAUAAUCUUUAUUGGAUUUGAGAAUACGCCUUAACGACCAAUGGUUAACGAUGGCUUUGAUGGGUGGUUUUGCUAGAAUAGGAAAUAAUGAGAUUACUAAUCUGUUUGGCCAAAAUUUUAAAAUUAACUUAUUUUGAAAAGUAUUUUUAUGUAAAAGUUUCUUUUUGAACAAGCACUUUCAGUGAGGAGCUAUUUGUUUAGGCCAAUUAAUAUUUUUGAGCAACAAUUGAUGUUUCAUCAAAUUUCUAAAAAGUGUUUUCGGAUAUAUUUUCUCAAAAAGUAUUUCUCAUACACUCUUUUUUGGUAAAUAAAUUACUUUAUUUAUCAGAGUUAAUAUGCAUUACACAAAGAGUCACUUACAAAUAACCAAAAAAUUACUUUAUUUAUCAGAGUUAAUAUGCAUUACACAAAGAGUCACUUACAAAUAGUGUCUAGAAGUACACUAUCAAAGUUAAAAGUGCUUAUUAGUUAGGUGCAACCAAUUUUAUAUGUUUAUUUAUGUAUUAUAUCAAAAAAUUAUUUACACUGACAAUUUAUAUAGCUUAUGUUUCUUUUUCAAGAUUACAGAUCCAUUAUUUACACCCUUUCUUCUUUACAUGUUUGCAGAUCGUGGAUCAUGAACAGAAGAUUAAUUGAGUAACAACAAAAAUUAUAUUGAGCAACAACUUACUAUUAUAUUUAUGUUUAAUUAAAUAUGGUGUUGGAGUUGGACAAUUGUAUGUUUGGAAUUUGGGUACUCUAGAAUUGCUUAGUCCAUGAUAGAUCUUCAAUGGAGUUAAGCUAGUAAUAAAUAAUAAUACUUAUGUUAAUUAAGUUGAAUUAUGCUUGCACUAUGUAAUUAAUACUUAUGUUAAUUAAAGGAAAUUAGCACUUUGUCCUUCAAAUAAUUGGUAAAUUUUUUAUUUAGGACCUUUUGAUUCCUGGUAUAAGCAUGUUUAACCUUCAAUUGAAUUCAACUCAAUGGUACUGCACACUGGGAUACCAGCUACAAGGAGAGAGGAGAGCAAGAUAGGAGAGAGGCGAGUGAGAGAGCCAAAUACUUGCAAAUUCAUUUGAAUACAGUGUAUCUAAAAUAAUUUACACCUAAUUUUGACAUAAUAUAUCCGAGAUACAUGUAUCUGGAUGCGCCGCACACAAGAGAUACAUAUGUAUCUUGAUGUAUCAUGACGUGUAAGAUACAUGUAUCCGAAGUCCAAAAUCUGGUAAAUUUCAUAUUAUUAUAAACUAACUCGAAUAUAAGUAAUUAGCUCUUAAACAAGUGUGAUCUCUAUAAUUACUCAAUAUAUAAAGCCUUUUAAUUAUUUGCCACAAAUGUGUGUAUCGCACUCACUAUGUCAUGUCAUCAAAAUAUUCCUAUUUCAUCAACCUUAAAUAACAUUAUCAAAAGAUUAUAUUUGCCUUUAAAUAUCGUAACUUAAAUCCCUUGGAAGGAAUAAACCCUUCACUCAAUCUUUCUUAUUGUAAUAUACUUCUAAUAUAAGUCUUUUUCUACUACCUCUGUGUGUUGCUGUUACAAAACCUUUUUUCUAGCCUAAUCAAAUUGAAGCGGAUUAAUCAAUUCACCAAUAAAUGAAAGAUCUAUCGUUUUAACAUUCAAAAUAAAGAAUGUUAAGGUAUCUUUUCAUUCAUUUAGGUAUUGAUUAUUAUGGUCGACUCGUCUUAGCAUGUGUUUUGUUACCGAUCCUUUAAACUUUUCAGCGCACGCCCCUACGAUAGCAAAAUUCAGCACGCAUAAUAUCAUGGGAAAUAAAGUCCAUACAAAAUUUAGUAGAUAAAAUUCAUCUAAUAAAUAUAUGAAUAUAAUAAUUAUUACUAAAUUAUAGUCAAAUACAUAUAUACUUGUUACCUUAAUUUAUUAUUUAAUCGUAAUAAAUUAGCAAAAUUAAUGUAAACACUCGAUACACAUAUAUAGAGCAAAUUGUCAGAAUGAUUGUUAUGAUUCUAACAUAAUCUAAUAACUUUGAUUCAAUUUUUAUUACAUUAUUUUUUUAUUAGCCUGUUAAAAAUAUCUUUCCAUAACUAUUUUUCAUAGAAAUAAUAUCCAUCAACUUCACAAGGACAAGUCCAGCCCUAGAAAGAAACAAAAAAUGGAAAAAGAAAGGCAUAUUUAAUACUCCCACACGACUCUUUUAUAUGUUAUUAUUUCUGUUAUUUUUAAAAAUAUUUAUUCGCAUUCAAUUCAUUGUUUACGUCAAAUAAUAUAACUUACUGUAAUUAAGCAAUUUAAUCGAGUAAAUAUAUUUAUAUCAAUAAACUAUAAUUAAGUGAUGGUACUUAUGUAUAUACAACCGUAUAGUCAAAUGCAUAUUUAGAAUUUCGAGAUGAUGAAUGCAUUAUUAUGAAAAGGUGAAUCUAAGAUAGGAGAUCAGAGGCGAGUGAGAGAGCCAAAUACUUGCAAAUUCAUUUGAAUACAAUGUAUCUAAAAUAAAUUACACAUAAUUUUGACAUAAUAUAUCCGAGAUACAUGUAUCUGGAUGCGCACACAAGCGAUACAUAUGUAUCUUGAUGUAUCAUGACGUGUAAGAUACAUGUAUCUGAAGUCCAAAAUAUGGUAAAAUUCAUAUUAUUAUAAACUAGCCCGAAUAUAAGUAAUUAGCUCUUAAACAAGUGUGAUUUCUAUAAUUACUCAAUAUAUAAAGCCUUUUAUUUGCCACUAAUGAGUGUAAUCGCACUCACUAUGUCAUGUCAUCAAAAUAUUCCUAUUUCAUCAACCUUAAAUAACAUUAUCAAAAGAUUAUAGUAUUUGCCUUUAAAUAUUGUAAUUUAAAUCCCUUGGAAGGAAUAAACCCUUCACUCAAUCAUCCUUAUUGUAAUAUACUUCUAAUAUAAGUCUUUCCCUACUAUCUCUGUGUGUUGCUGUUACAAAACCUUUUUUCUAGCCUAAUCAAAUCGAAGCGGAUUAAUCGAUUCACCAAUAAAUGAAAGAUCUAUCGUUUUAACAUUCAAAACAAAGAAAAAAAUUCCGUGUGAUUCCAGGUCUGGACCUGGAAUCACUUAUUUACUGUACAAUUCAGUUACUUAAUUUAGAAAUGUGUCAUUCUUUUUUAGAUUAACUAAAAACGGAAGGGUGUCACAUAAAUUGGGACGGAGAGAGUUUAUGCUUUAUAGUUUCAAGUUCACCAUGAGUAUUUGCUCGAUAUACUAAGUUGGAAUGAGUUUAUCUGAACUAGAUAUUCAGGCCAUUGCCAUUCAUUUUAGUUCAACUAAUUUGACUGGUUGAAGAUUUCCUUAGUAAAUGGUAAUUACUAAUAGCAUUUCAUGUAGACCCUUAAUACUUGCUAAGUGUCCAACAUUGGUUGAGGAAUGAGUUGUUAUAUCAAUCAUCACUAUCUGAGCUAGCUUUUGAGGUUGAGUUAGGCCCGAUACUUUUAAAGCUCUCGGUGUCAAAGCAGAAGUCGACUCCAAGAAAACAACUUGUACCUGAGUUCAUGUUGUAAUAUACUUCUAAGUAUUUUUCUAUUACCUAUGUGUGUGUUCCUAUUUCAAAUAGGUAUAUUUUAUUUCAUCCAAAUAUAUUAAUUUUUAUCAUCGACUCGUAUUAGCACGUGCUUUAUUACCAUCAUGCCCGAUCUUUUAAACUUUCAGAUUGCAAAAUUCAGCACACUUAAUUAAUAUCAUGGCAAAUAAAUUCCAUACAAAAUUUAGUAGAUAAAAAUUACUUAUAUCAUCUAAUAAAUAUAUGUCAUAUAUUUUCUCAAAUAGUCAAUUACAUACAUAUUAUUACCUUAAUUUAUUAUUUAAUCAUGAUAAAUUAUUUAAAUUGAUGUGAACAUUUUAUGCGCGUAUAGACUAAUCUACGGACCAGUGAGACUAUUCUAUAUAUAAUAAAUUAGCUACUUCUCGACUUGGAAAAAACUUAGCACAUGAAAAGUGGACCAUAAGAAGUUUCAUUGAUGUCAAUCCAAUUCAAGCCCUAAGAAAAAAAAAACAAAAAUCAUAAAAAUAUUUUUUAGCGACAAUAAAUAUGCACAUUAAUAAAGAGAGCUAAAACUUUUAGAGACAUUAGUUAACCGUCAUUGGAUCCAAUGUCGCUAUAAGCUUUAAGGACGUUUACAAGGAGUGUUAAUAAUUGCCUUUAAAAGCACAUAUCUAAGUGGCAAUUAAGCUAUUACUGUUAAAGAUCAUUUGAGUCAGACACAAGUUCCAUUUCUUAACAUAUAGAGAUUUUAAUAGUUCGGUUGAUUUGCUACUUAAAAGUGUUUUUGAAAAUGAUUAGCCAGACACAAAUAUAACUUCUCACCAAAAGUAAAUACUUUUCAAAAUAAGUUAAUUUUAGAAAUUUAACGAAGCAAGCUUACUCAAGACUGAAAACAUCAUAUUCAUCAACUUGAGAGGACUUGACCAACUAAAACAAUAUAAAUCAAAUGUUCGGAAAAUUAUAAUCAACUAUCAUUCGGUCAUCUAAUUUAUAUAAUAUAUAUAGUACAUAUACAACAGAAAUAUAUAAAUAAUAUAUACUUUGAUCAUAUUGAUAAACUAAUUAGCCGAAGAAUGCGUAAGUUUCCUAUAAAUGUUAUCCCAAGAGUCAAGCCCUCAAAAAGGAAAAAUGGAAGUGCUUUUUUUCUUCUUUUUUUUGGUCAUAGAUUUUUUUUUUCCAACAAUAAAGGGUCCACACAUUUAUAAAUUCCUUAUCAAUGAUCCCUUGAGAAAUAUUAUAAAAGGACUAGCAUAUAAGCUUAUUGAUUAAAAUAUAAUCACCUCAUAUAAGAUAAUAAAAUUAAUUCCUUUUUGCUCCAAUUUGAUCUCCAUGAAUCACAAAGCAUUAUUCUUAGCUUUUUUUGUCAUAAUCCUCUGUCUAUUCUCAGCAACCUCUAGAAGAUUGACAGGUGUAGUAUUAAUCCCUUGAUUGUAAUGUUGUAUAGGGACGGAGCUAGAUAAAAUCGAGAAGGUUUUUUAGUAGAAAAUUAUAUUUUUUAUAUAUAGUUUAACUUAUUACUUUUUACGUAUAUAUAGAAGAUGUUAAACCUUCAUUGACUUCUUAUUUUGUGUUUCUAUUUCUUUAUAUUAAUGAAAAUUCUGACUUCAUCAUUCGUAAUAUAAUUGUACCAUUAGUUUCUUAUUUUAUACUAAAUUUUUUAUUUUUAUAACAAUAACUUCAUUUAAAAUAUAUUUCAUGUUUAAAUCAUUUUUUGUUUUGUAGGAAAAGUAUAAUAAAACAAGCUAAGUAUUAUUUAUAAAAAUUAAAAUUAAACAUAGCUUCAUCUUCAACUUAAAAUUUUUCAAAUAAAGUGAAAAGUAUUUGCAAUAAUACGUAGUAGCUAGUAUAUAAGAUCUAAUACUAUCUAUUUUGAGAUUUUACUCUUUUAUAUGUUUCAGAUAAAUUAAUCAAAUUGGGUGAUUUUACUAGCUUCUCGAAAGACAUAAUAUAUUAGCAUGCUCUUUAACUUGAGUCCGGAGCCUAAAGGGCAAAAAAAAUGGUAAAAAAUUCCAAAAGGGCACAUCACUUUUUAUUUUAGCCAAAAGGGCAAAAUCGCUGCGUUAUAUUAUUUUAUUUAUCUCAAUUUAUUUGAUAUAGUUUAUGAUAUGCAAAGGUUAUAGGAAAAAAAAAUUAAAUUAUUGUGUAUGUUACUUCACGGACUGAUUAGUUGACAUAUCCAGUGGCCCAACCCAUUAAAUUUUGGACGAGUUGGAAGGGUUAUAUAUUUCAAAUUGCAAAAAACAUGGUAUGAUCGAUGAGAGAUGGUAAUCUUUGUUGGUUUUGAAAUACAUAAUUUAAUCUGUAUGACCUAAUUUUUAAAAUAACCUUAUUUUGAAACGUAUUUUUAUGUGAAAAAAUUAUUUUUGAACAAGCACUUUUGGUGAGGAGCUAUUUGUUUUGGCCAAUUAGUAUUUGAUCGAAUUUCUAAAAGAUGUUUUUGUAUAUAUUUUCUCAAAAGUAUUUCUCAUAAUUUUAUUUUAUUUUAAGUAAAUUACUUUAUUUAUCGAAUAUGCAUCGCACAAGGAGUCACUAACAAAUGGUGUCUAGAUGUACACUAUCAAAAUUUGAAGUGUUUACUUAUCAACUGACAAUUGUAAUCAACUUUAUAUGUUUAUUUAGGUAUUAUACCUAAAAAUUAUAUACAUUAACGAUUUAUAUAAUUUAUGUUUUUUUAAAGAUUACAGAUCCAUUAUUUACACCAUUUCUUCUUUACAUGUUUGCAGCUCCUGGAGCAUGAACAGAGAUUGAGAAACAAAAAAGUUAUAUUGAGCAAGAACUUUAUAAUGAACAGAGAUUGAGUAACAAAAAAGUUAUAUUGAGCAAGAACUUUAUAUUAUAUUUAUAUAUGUUUAAUUAAAUAUGUUUUUUGAGUUGGACAAUUGUAUGUUUGGAUCUCCAUGAAAGAUCUUCAAUGGAGUUAAGGUAAUAAUAAAGAAUACUUAUGUUUGAUUUUUUGGUUAUAAAGACAUUUUAUAUAUAUCAAAGUAGGGAAUUUAUGAAUAGCAGCUAAGCAACUACACAUGAGUUAUAAUUCCAGGAUAAUAAUCAAGUUUCGCGGUCUGACUAGUUAACUUUGCCUUCAAGCUACCUCGCAUCACCACCAUCUGAAUAAUUUGUCUUGAGAGAACCAAAAAUUUCUCUUCUUGGUCUAAAAGACUCGAUUGCUCCUUUCGUGCCAUAUCGUAUAUAUUGUACCAGCUACAGUGAUUCUAAAUAGUUCAGCAUGUGCAUUCUUCCCAUUAAAGAAUACUUAUGUUAAUUAAGUUGAAUUAUGCUUGCACUUUGUAAUUAGUAAGGAAUUAAUACUUAUGUUAAUUAGGGAUAUUUAGCACUUUUAGUCCUUCAAAUAAUUCGUAAAUUUUGAUCUAGGACCUUUUGAUUUUUUGUAUAAGCAUGUUUAGUCUUCAAUUUAAUGGUAUUGCACACUUUUGAUCCCUCCGGUUGUGAGUUUAACAAAUUAUUUAAUGUUGAAUCAUUCAAUUAGUGGGACCGACAGCACACAUUUUAAUUAGUUAAUUGAAAGUUAUAAUGUGCUUGACAAAAUAUUAAUAACACAAGUUUUAGUUAAUCCUAUUUUAUAUAUUCCAACCACAUAUUACCGACUUCAGCUAACAAAAAUUGUCAAAUCCCACGAGUAAGAUCUGAACAGGAUUGGUUAUACAUAAAUCUUACUUCUAUUUAUGUGAGAUAUAAAAAAUUAAAGGCUACUUAUGAUAGUCGCUCAGCUGAAGAAAAAAAAAGGUAAAUAUUAGCUCCAUGUAAUAUAACUACAAUCAUUCAAUUUUAAUCACCAAUAGUUAAUGUCCAUUGAGUUUAAGCCCUAUGCUCAAGUAUUGAGUUGGUGAGAGAAGGAGAGACGCAAGUAAGAUUCUCAUAUAUAUACAAAUCACACUAAAUAUAUAUAUAUAUAUAUAUAUAUCUGGAAUAUCAUAUAUAAGGAGAGUGGAGAACACACUAUAAGAAAAGUGUGAAUUACAUGAGGAUUUUCCUGUGGAUUAGUAUGAAAAUUUUGCAGGAAAAUAAGUUUAAUUUCCUACGGAUUUUCAUAUUAAUCCCCAGGAAAAUUCUCAUGUAAUUCACACUGUUCUUGUAGUGGUAGCCAGCGAGAUACGAGAGGCGAGUGAGAGAGUCACUUGGAUACAUUGUAUCUAAAACAAAUUACACAUAAUUUUGACCAUCUGGAUGCACCAUAUACAUGUAUCCGAAGAACAAAAUUUGGUAAGACUCAUAAUAUUGCAAACUAGCAUGAAUCUAAGUAAUUAGCUCCUAAACUAGUGAGAUUUCACAAAUAGUCAAUUACAUACAUAUUAUUACCUUAAUUUAUUAUUUAAUCAUGAUAAAUUAUUUAAAUUGAUGUGAACAUUUCAUGCGCGUAAAGACUAAUCUACUGACUGGUGAGACUAUAUAUAAUAAAAAUAAAUUAGCUACUUCUCGACUUGGAAAAAACUUAGCACAUGAAAAGUGGACCAAAAGAAGUUUCAUUUAUGUCAAUCCAAUUCAAGCCCUAAAAAAAAAUAAAAAAUCAUAAAAAUAGUCUUUAACAACAAUAAAUAUGUGCAUUAAUAAAGAGAGGUAAAUCUUUUACUGGCAUUAGUUAAUUGUCAUUGGAUCAAAUGUCGCUAUAAGCUUUAGGGACAUUUAUAAAGAGUGUAAAUAAUUGCCUUGCGGCAAUUAAACUAUUACUGUUAAUUAAUUAUUGUUAAAGACCAUUUGAGUCAGACACAAGUUCCAUUUCUUAACAUACAGAGAUUUUAGUAGCUCGAUUGAUUUGCUACUUAAAAGUAUUUUUACAAAUUGAUUAGUCAUACACAAAUAUAACCUCUCACAAAAAAUAAAACAUUUUUCAAAAUAAAUUAAUUUUAGAAAGUUGACCAAACAAACUUAUUCAAGACCGAAAACAUCAUAGUCAUCAACAGAGGACUUGACCAAGUAAAAUAUUAUAAAUUAAAUAUCAUUUUCUCAUCUGAUUUAUAAAAUAUAUAUACAAUAUAUAGUGUAUGGUAUUUAUUUUAUACUAAACAUGUAUACAUAUUCGUAUAUCGAAGUAUAUAUAUAGUAUACAUAUCAUAUACAUAAUAUAUAUAGUACAUAUACAACGAAAAUAUAAAAAUAAUACAUAUUUUAAUCAUAUCGAUAAACUAGUUAGCGAAGGAUAUGUAAGUUUCCUAUAAAUGUUAGCCCAAGCCUCCCACCCCCCACCCCCCCAAAAAAAUGGAGGUGAUUUUUUUUUCAACAAUAAAGGGUCCACAAAUUUAUGAAUUCCUUAUGAAUGUUCCCUUGAGAAAUAUUAUAAAAGGACUAGCAUAUAAGCUUGUUGAUAAAAAUAUAAUCAUCUCAUAGAAGAUAAUUAAUUCCUUUUUGCUCCAAUUUGAUCUCCAUGAAUUACAAAGCAUUAUUCUUAGUCUUGUUUUAUCAUAAUCCUCUGUUCAUCCUCAGCAACCUCUAGGAGAUUGCCAGGUGUAGUAUUAAUCCCUUUAUUGUAAUGUAAUAUACAUGGACGGAGCUAGAUAAGUUCGAGAGGUUCAUCCUAACUCUCUUUAGUAGAAAAUAAUAUUGUUUAUAUAUAGUUAAAAUUAUUAUUUUAAAAGUAUAUAUAGUAGAUGUUGAAUCCCUAUUGACUUCUUAUUUCGUGUGUUUAUUUCUUCAUAUUAAUGAAAAUUCUGACUGCGUCAUUCAUAAUUUAACGUUACCACUUAAUAUUUUUUAUGUACAUAUAGUAGAUGUUAAACCCCUCACUGACUUCUUAAUUCGUAUGCUUAUUUCUUUAUAUAUACUUGUUUGGCUAUUAGAAUUAUUCAUGUUUUUUUCUUUAAAAAAAGUCACUUUAUUUGAAAAUCAGUGUUUGGUCAUGAAAAUUUCAAACUCACUUAAAGUAGUAUUUGAAAUUUGAAAAACACUCAAAAUCUUAUUUUCCUUUUCACAAUAGUAGACGUUUGACCAUUUUCAGUGUGAAAAUAGAAAAAAAUAAUUUUUAUUUUCAAAAUGAAAAAUGAUAUAUGGUUGUGUUUGACCAUGGAAUAAAUUAUAGGUGGUUUUUUGAAUUUUUGUGAUUAAUUUAGAGCGAAAAAGUGAAUUUGUUGUGUUUGAAAAUUCUGAAAUCCCUGAAAAAAGUUAAAAUACUUUCUUUUUUUCAGAAUUUUAUGGCUAAACAUAUUUAUUGGAGUUCGUAAAAAAUUUCAUGGCCAAACACCUACAUAAAAACAACUAAAUACUAUUUACUAAAAUUAUAACUAAUCACAGCACCAUCUUCAACUUCAACUUAAAAAGUUUCAAAUAAAGUGAAAAGUAUUUGAAAUAGUACAUAAUAGCUCAUAUAUGUUUCAGGUAAAUUAAUCAAAUUGAGUGAUUUUGCUAGUUUUUAGAAAGGCAUACACAUUAACAUGCCUUUUAACUUGGCCUCAGCUAACAUUUAUGCUCUCCAACUUUGAGUGUACAUUACACAACUCAAACUUUAAGAUUUCCAAAUAAAAAUAAUUUUUUAAAAAGCUCAUAGCCAAGGGCCCACUACUAGUAUUUUGAUUUUUAACCUUAAUUAUUAGUAUUAUUUUUCCAAAUUUAAAUGUUACUUGUAUGAUGUAUAACUUAAUUCCUCUUUAACUAUAGGUUAUAGAUGCAAUGACUAUAAAUUUCGAGAAGAAUCGUGUUCACCACGUAGAUCCCUCUACCUUAGAGAUUUUGAGGAACCAAUCCAAGCACCAGAUUCAAUAUCGCCACCUGGUAAAGUUUUGCACAAAAUAUAUUAUUUUACUUGUCUCAAUUUAUUUGGUAUAGUUUAUUAUAUGCAAAAGUUAAAAGAAACAAAAAGUUUUAAGUUAUUGUGUGUGUUACUUCACGAGUUGAUUAGUUGACCUAUUUAGCAGUCCAAUCCAUCAAAUUUUGGACGAGUUAGAAGGAUUACAUAUUUCAAUUGGCGAAGAACACGGUAUGAUGAGAGAUGAUAAUCUUUAUUGGAUUUGAGAUACACAAUUUAAUCUGUUUGGCCAAACUUUUAAAAUUAACUUAUUUUGAAAAGUAUUUUUAUGUAAAAGUUUCUUUUUGAACAAGCACUUUCAGUGAGGAGCUAUUUGUUUAGGCCAAUAAAUAUUUUUGAGCAACAAUUGAUGUUUCAUCAAAUUUCUAAAAAGUAUUUUUGGAUAUAUUUUCUCAAAAAGUAUUUCUCAUACACUUUUUUUUUGGUAAAUAAAAUACUUUAUUUAUCAGAGUUAAUAUGCAUUACACAAAGAGUCACUUACAAAUAGUGUCUAGAAGUACACUAUCAAAGUUAAAAGUGCUUAUUAGUUAGGUGCAGUCAAUUUUAUAUGUUUAUUUAUGUAUUAUAUCAAAUUAUUUACACUAACAAUUUAUAUAGCUUAUGUUAUUUUUCAAGAUUACAGAUCCAUUAUUUACACCCUUUCUUCUUUACAUGUUUGCAGAUCGUGGAUCAUGAACAGAAUAUUAAUUGAGUAACAACAAAAAUUAUAUUGAGCAAGAACUUAAUAUUAUAUUUAUGUUUAAUUAAAUAUGGUGUUGGAGUUGGACAAUUGUAUGUUUGGAAUUUGGAUACUCUAGAAUUGCUUAGUCCAUGAUAGAUCUUCAAUGGAGUUAAGCUAGUAAUAAAUACUCCCAAUACUUAUGUUAAUUAAGUUGAAUUAUGCUUGCACUAUGUAAUUAAUAAGGAAUUAAUACUUAUGUUAAUUAAGGGAAAUUAGCACUUUGUCCUUCAAAUAAUUGGUAAAUUUUUUAUUUAGGACCUUUUGAUUCCUAUUAUAAGCAUGUUUAACCUUCAAUUGAAUUAAACUCAAUGGUACUGCA